rnacentral:rRNA from 1 species
AUUGAACGCUGGCGGCAUGCCUUACACAUGCAAGUCGAACGGUAACAGGUCUUCGGAUGCUGACGAGUGGCGAACGGGUGAGUAAUACAUCGGAACGUGCCUAGUAGUGGGGGAUAACUACUCGAAAGAGUGGCUAAUACCGCAUGAGAUCUACGGAUGAAAGCAGGGGAUCGCAAGACCUUGUGCUACUAGAGCGGCCGAUGGCAGAUUAGGUAGUUGGUGGGAUAAAAGCUUACCAAGACGACGAUCUGUAGCUGGUCUGAGAGGACGAUCAGCCACACUGGGACUGAGACACGGCCCAGACUCCUACGGGAGGCAGCAGGGGGGAAUUUUGGACAAUGGGCGCAAGCCUGAUCCAGCAAUGCCGCGUGCAGGAUGAAGGCCUUCGGGUUGUAAACUGCUUUUGUACGGAACGAAAAGCCCCGGGUUAAUACCCUGGGGUCAUGACGGUACCGUAAGAAUAAGCACCGGCUAACUACGUGCCAGCAGCCGCCGUAA